rnacentral:tRNA from 1 species
UGCCCCGUGGCUGAGUUGGUUACAGCGUCCGACUGUUACUUCUGCGAUAUCGGAAGGUCGUGAGUUCGAGCCUCACCGGGGCAG